UAGUUACUUUUAUAAAGUAACUUUCCCAACCCCGUGUAGAUUUAUAUUAGAGUGAACCUUUGACUAUGAACGUUUUCAAAUUAACCUCAACCUAACCUAACCUAACUUGACCUGGAAUUGAAAAUGGUGUCAUUGGCACUGGUCUCCAUGACAACUGAUGAUAACUGUCAACACAAAUAUUGUAUACAUAGAAUAGAUCAGUGUCAGAGAGGAUCGGUGCAUCAAAGACUUCGAUUUGAUAAAACAGAGUGUAUUUUAAAGGAGUUACCGUAAAGGAACGUGCUUGUUUAUACGUCGACAUUAAAUUACAAUUUAAUUCACUCCGUGUACUGUAAUGUGAUAAACAAUGGCUUUGUAUUUCGACAUUCGGGUACAGAAUCCUGAGAGUGCGUCAAUAAGUACCCUCGCGACCUGGCACAAUAAUUAUCCCCUGUUAGCCGUUGCCGCGUACUCUCAGGAUAAGGGUGGCUUUGUGACCGUCUACGAUGAUCAAGGUGAGCCCGUGCAGGAUGUUGAGUCACCGGGACACGCGGUGGCACAAGUCACUGCUCUUGGAUGGCAUCCUGAGAAGACGUGGUUGGCUGCAGGCUGGGAGAAUGGAGAAUUACGUAUCUGGCCAGGAGACACAGGCACUCAGGAAUUCAAUGUGGUAGUAACCCCCCAUCGAGAUUCCAUCAUGAUUCUGCAGUGGAGUCAAUACGGUGGCCGCUUGGUAUCUGCAGACACUGGUGGAUCUAUAGUCGGUUGGAAAAUAGACUCUAGGGGACAGCUCUUCAUGACGUUCCAUCACGAGUUAAAAGAGUCUUUUACACAAAUUGCAUUUAGGACAGUCCCGCUAAAACCUGCUGUUGAUAUUAGCGGCUUGGCGAAGGCGGCAGUGGCUGGCGAUGAGAGAGCUUUAGAUCUAUUUAGUUCCUGGCGUCCGAGAACUGCUGCGCCAACGGCGGUACUGUCACAACGGGAUAACCACGCGUUUUACAUUGGUACCGUAAAUGGUAUCAUAUACUUUGUUGAUGCUCAAGGGCAGUGCAAAGAAGUUCUGAGUACCGAUGGUGCCGUGUUACACUGUCUAUUGUAUCAUCAGACCAGAGAUUCCAUCAUUGUUAUGACGGAGGGAUUGAAUAUCGGGCAUUUUCAAGCAGAUUCAAUCAGUGGAGAGCUCACCGAGCUAACAAAGGUAAAACUAAGUGGCAGAAGCGAUGCGUCACGCACUACCGGUACCACCCUGUGCUGGAUCAGCGGAAAUACAUUGGCUGUGCUGACAGGAGAGCUCGCCGUCCGAUGCUGGGAUCUUCACACGGGCGAUACGUAUGUCCUGUCACCUCCCGAUUCGUCCAAUGGAAAUGUCGCCACUCCUCAGGAAAUGUGCACUAGCUUGGCAUUUUGCAAGAGCAACGAUACCUUAGCCGCCGGCACCAACUUGGGUACAAUCUAUUUGUGGAAGCGAAAAUGUACGUCUGACUGCGACGAGAGUGCCUGGCCAAGUGUCCCGGAGUCCUGCGCGAUUCAUGGCACGGUGAAGCAGCUGGCGUGGGGCGUCAGCUUAUCACGAAAUCCCCUUUUGACUGUUAACUGUAUAACCAAUGUAUUCAUCCUGCAUCAGCAACCCAUGUGUGCCGUAUACAACGACGGUGUUUGCGCGAGCCAGCUCGCCCCAACACAGAUUUUACUCGAGAUGGACGAACAGACGUAUAUAUUAAAGACAGAGAUUCAGGUGCAAGCCGUCGCUGUGUCGCGGGAAUACAUUGCCGUCUCCUCCGGUAGACAAAUUAUUGUCAACAGUAUUAACAAAGGUGCCAAUCUUAACACGAGCGUACUGGCAACUUUCAACUGUGACACAGAAAAGAUGUUAAUCUAUGAGCACACAUUGAUCGUGUUAACUCCAACAAUUAUUCAGCUGCGAUCUAUAGAAGGCUCCGUUAUUCAGACACUUCCCACUUUACCGGAGGAGGGCGAGCCGAUCACAAUGGAAUUAACAGGACAUUAUUUAACCGUGGCAUCAUUAAAUGGCAUUCUGAAGAUUUGGAAUCUAGGCAAGCAUGAGGCUAAGCUACACACUCGUGCCAUGGCUACGUAUGAGGCGAUCAGUGAUUUCGCUGAGAUUAUCGAGGCCAGAUGUAAUUCAGAUUGCCAUUGCGUCUCGAUCACUGUUGCUAUGGCAAAUCUCAUGCCUAGCUCGGUUUUAUAUAUCUGGGACAUCGAGAGCGAUCAGAUCCAUGAAUUCAAUUUUGGAGAGUCGGACGACAUCAUUGACGAUGACUCCAUAGCUGCACAAUGCAGAGGAAGAUUGGUUACUGCGCACUGCUGGGAUGUGGAGGAUCCCAGGUUACUGGUAUGUCGAGCUCAACGAUUGGAAAGCCGUGAUUCUAAGAACUUCAAUAAGGACAACAAUGGGACUAUACAAGAGGCCUCCGUAGUGUUGGUAUCGUUAUUUGCAACAUCGGAUCACGGUAUCGUUAUACAGGACGUAAAACCGAUCGCUGAUGAGAAUUGCCGAUUGCUAGGUGUGCAUUCACCGCACAUCGUUAUUUUAAAUUCCGAAAAGAGUUUGGAUAGGAGCAGCAAGAUUAUUUGCUUAUUAAUGAGAGAUUUUGAAGAACUGGGAGAGUGCGAUUCCACUACCAAAAAAGCGGUAAUGGAUUUUAGUUACCAUAUUAGUGUGGCAAAUAUGGAGGAGGCCUUCAAAGCCAUUAAAUCUAUAAAAAAUGAGGCUGUCUGGAAGAAUUUGGCCAAAAUGUGUGUGAAAACAAAGCAGCUGAACAUGGCUCUUCUUUGCCUGGGUCACAUGAAGCAGGCCAAUGCCGCGAGGGCUUUACGUGAAGCAAUGCAGGCCAGUACUUUAAGCUUGGAAGCGCAAGUAGGAAUUUUGGCUGUCGAGCUUGGCCUGCAUAUCGAUGCUGAACGUCUAUUCCGCGAAGCUAAACGUCUGGAUUUGCUGGGACGGCUAUACGAGGCACGGAAUAAGUUUAAAGAGGCAAUUGAAUUGGCCAGUAACGAGAACAGGAUCCGCGAGAAAACGAGUUGCUACAACUAUGCGCGUGCGUUGGAGCAACAAGGUAAAGUGGCAGAGGCUAUUGAUAUGUACACGAAAGCCGAUUGCCAUCGAUUUGAAGUGCCCAGGAUGCUUUUGACGAGACCUCGAGAAUUACUCACGUAUCUAAAUAAUUCCGAAGAGCCGGAGAUAAAAAAUUGGCAUGCUCAGUACACCGAGUCGACCGGCGAUAUGGAGACCGCCUUGCAUCUUUACGAGCAAGCAAAAGAUACUUUGUCGAUGACACGUCUGCUUUGUUACUUUAGCAGAGAGGAUGAAGUGUGUGAGCUAGUGACGAGAACAAAUCACGCCGCAGCGGCAUAUCAUCUUGCAGCGCACUAUGAAUCAAAGAACAAUGUGACACAAGCGGUUCAUUUCUACACAGUCGCGAAAGCUUAUACCAAUGCGAUACGGUUGUGCAAGGAGCAUGACAUGCUGGAAGAACUGUGGCCACUGGCUAUACUGGCGUCACGGCAUUCGCAGAUAGACGUCGCCAAGUUUUACGAGGACAACGACCAACCAGAUCGCGCGGUACUGUUAUACCAUAAAGCUGGUCUCUUGCAUAAAGCCUUGGACGUCGCGUUCAGAACACGACAGUACAGCGCGUUGCAACUGAUUAUUAUGGAUGUGAACGCGGAUUCUGAUCCGGCACUAAUCCACAAGUGCGCUGACUACUUGAUGCAGAAUGACCAAAUCGACAAGGCGGUGGAUCUGCUUGCGACCGGCAGAGAUUAUAUGGCGGCUUUGGAUCUGAUUCAGCAGCAUAACGUCGUGCUGAGCGAAGAGCUUGCGGAGAAGCUCACGGUCGAGAAAGGGAGUGACGACAAUGCGGAGCGCGAACGUACGAGAAUUUCCACGCUCGAGAAAAUCGCAGAGAUCGCUUUUGAUCAGGGAAACUACCAUCUUGCGACUAAAAAGUUCACGCAGGCGGGCAACAAGCUGCGCGCUAUGAAGGCGUUGCUCAAAUCCGGAGAUACCGAGAAAAUCUGUUUCUUCGCGCAGGUCUCGAGGAACCGCGAGAUCUACAUCAUGGCAGGCAAUUAUUUGCAAUCUCUGGAUUGGCAAAAUCAACCAGAGAUUCUGAAGAACAUAAUCAAUUUCUACUCCAAGGGCAAGGCCAUGGAUUUGUUGGCAAAUUUUUAUGUAACAUGCGCACAGGUGGAGAUUGACGAGUUUCAGAAUUAUGAGAAAGCAUUGGACGCCCUAAAUCAAGCAAACAGGUGUCUGUCCAAGGUGAUGACACCGCGGGAUCUUGAUGUUCAUAAUCGGGCGGUGGAGUUGGUGAAUAAUAGAAUGUCUGCAAUUAAACGCUACUUGGAUAUUAAAAGAUUGUUCGAUAGAGGGGAGACGGAGACGGCAAUGCAGCAAGUUCGUCAUUUGCUGGACUCUCAGGGAUCCAAUCUAGAGCAAUCGGUGCGUCGUGGCGACCUGUUUGCCACAAUCACGCAACAUUAUGCCAAUAUAGGGAACACUGAGAAAGCUUGGGCGACAAUCGAAGAACUGAAACGCCUAGUGCCAGGAAUCAAUUUGACUUACUACUUUAACAUAAAUCUUCUGGAAGCAUUGGGCUACAAGAUGAAGAUGCAGCAGCAGGACAGUUCCGAUAAGGAUGAUGGAAUUGAAGAGCUCCUGGGAGAGUAAAAAGUUUCUUGCGUAAACGAUCACCCAGGAUAUUUUUACUUUCCAUUAAAAGUCGUUAUUACCUAAGAAGUAAGUUGUCUGCGGUAUAUAACGUUAGUAGCAUAUUUGUUCAGAUAUUGCAACAAUCUGGUACUAUCUACUUUAAAUACAUGUGCUUAUGUUUUGUUGGUAGAGACUACUGAUCACGAGACACGAUAGCGUCUCGUGCCAAGUAUAAGCGUAGGUAGAAACCGCGCGCGUGACACCGACCGUGUAGUUUACGCGAGUACGCGAGUUGACAGGCCGUGAGAUUAUCAGAUUUCAACAACGGCAGAUCCGAUGAACUUCUAAGUGCACUCAAUCGAUAGUGAAAGGUUCCCUCAAAAUUCAGACGCACAAACGCCCCUGAGCACGGCGCAGAGCGCUGCGCGAAACGCUCACGCGCACCGACACCCGCGGUCGACACGCGCUAACGGCGUGACAACGGACGCCGUUAAAUUUCGGCGAACGAUUAGGGCCGAACACUCUUUGUCGGGACCUGCUCGGAGUAAGACCGAAGCAAGUCUGAGUCGUAUAACUUUUCGUGUUCAAGUUUAUUGUAACAAGUUAUUAAAUACAUUUGUUCUUUACA